rnacentral:rRNA from 1 species
UACCUGCAGCUCGAGUGGUAACCGCUUUUAUUGGGCCUAAAGCGUCCGUAGCCGGUUUGGUAAAUAUCUGGGUAAAUCGUGAGGCUUAACUUCACGAAUUUCGGAUAGACUGCCAGACUUGGGAUCGGGGGAGGUCAGAGGUACUCCAGGGGUAGCGGUGAAAUGUUGUAAUCCUUGGAGGACCACCGGUAGCGAAGGCGUCUGACUAGAACGAGUCCGACGGUGAGAGACGAAGCCCUGGGGCGCAAACCGGAUUAGAUACCCGGGUAGUCCAGGGUGUAAACAAUGUGGGCUUUGUAUUGGAGGUCUUACGUGGACGUCCAGUGCAGAAGAGAAGUUGUUAAGCCCACCGCCUGGGAAGUACGGUCGCGAGGCUGAAACUUAAAGGAAUUGGCGAGGGAGCACAGCAACGGGAGGAGCGUGCGGUUU